rnacentral:rRNA from 1 species
UUAUGCGUUGUUGGGUAGGGGAGCGUUCUGUAAGCCUGCGAAGGUGGCCUGUGAGGGUUGCUGGAGGUAUCAGAAGUGCGAAUGCUGACAUAAGUAACGAUAAAGCGGGUGAAAAGCCCGCUCGCCGGAAGACCAAGGGUUCCUGUCCAACGUUAAUCGGGGCAGGGUGAGUCGACCCCUAAGGCGAGGCCGAAAGGCGUAGUCGAUGGGAAACGGGUUAAUAUUCCCGUACUUGGUGUUACUGCGAAGGGGGGACGGAGAAGGCUAUGUUGGCCGGGCGACGGUUGUCCCGGUUUAAGCGUGUAGGUGUGUGUUCCAGGUAAAUCCGGUUCACUUUAACACUGAGGCGUGAUGACGAGGCACUACGGUGCUGAAGCAACAAAUGCCCUGCUUCCAGGAAAAGCCUCUAAGCAUCAGGUAACACGAAAUCGUACCCCAAACCGACACAGGUGGUCAGGUAGAGAAUACCAAGGCGCUUGAGAGAACUCGGGUGAAGGAACUAGGCAAAAUGGUGCCGUAACUUCGGGAGAAGGCACGCUGACACGUAGGUGAAGUGAUUUACUCAUGGAGCUGAAGUCAGUCGAAGAUACCAGCUGGCUGCAACUGUUUAUUAAAAACACAGCACUGUGCAAACACGAAAGUGGACGUAUACGGUGUGACGCCUGCCCGGUGCCGGAAGGUUAAUUGAUGGGGUCAGCGCAAGCGAAGCUCCUGAUCGAAGCCCCGGUAAACGGCGGCCGUAACUAUAACGGUCCUAAGGUAGCGAAAUUCCUUGUCGGGUAAGUUCCGACCUGCACGAAUGGCGUAAUGAUGGCCAGGCUGUCUCCACCCGAGACUCAGUGAAAUUGAACUCGCUGUGAAGAUGCAGUGUACCCGCGGCAAGACGGAAAGACCCCGUGAACCUUUACUAUAGCUUGACACUGAACAUUGAGCCUUGAUGUGUAGGAUAGGUGGGAG